GAUGAACGCUGGCGGCGUGCCUAACACAUGCAAGUCGAGCGUGAAUCUGAUGAGUGGAGACUUCGGUUGAAGCGAGUUGGAGGAAAGCGGCGGACGGGUGAGUAACGCGUGGGCAACCUGCCCCAUACAGCCGGAUAGCCACUGGAAACGGUGAUUAAUACGGCAUAAGACCACGAUACCGCAUGGUAACGCGGUCAAAGAUUUAUCGGUAUGGGAUGGGGCCCGCGUCUGAUUAGCUAGUUGGUGAGGUAACGGCUCACCAAGGCGACGAUCAGUAACCGGCCUGAGAGGGCGAACGGUCACACUGGAACUGAGACACGGUCCAGACUCCUACGGGAGGCAGCAGUGGGGAAUAUUGCACAAUGGGCGCAAGCCUGAUGCAGCAACGCCGCGUGAGUG
rnacentral:rRNA from 1 species